GAAAGUAAUGAAGGGCGUACGGUGGAUGCCUAGGCUCUUACAGGCGAUGAAGGACGUGAUAAGCUGCGAAAAGCCGCGGUGAGGCGCAAAUGGCCCUUGACCCGCGGAUCUCCGAAUGGGACAACCCAAUAUCUUGAAGAGAUAUUAUCCCGCCGAUGCGGGAGGCGAACGCGGGGAACUGAAACAUCUUAGUACCCGCAGGAAAAGAAAAUAAAGAAUGAUUCCCCCAGUAGUGGCGAGCGACCGGGGAACAGCCCAAACCGACGUUGUCUCGGCAUCGUCGGGGUUGUAGGACCGCGCCAUCGCAAGAAAGGCCGUGAGUGGAAGCGACUGGAAAGCCGCGCCAUAGAGGGUGACAGCCCCUUACACGAAGCAGCCCGAAGCGUAGCGGACUCCUGAGUAGCGCGGGACACGAGUAAUCCUGUGUGAAUCCGCCGGGACCAUCCGGCAAGGCUAAAUACUCGUAAGAGACCGAUAGUGAACCAGUACCGUGAGGGAAAGGUGAAAAGUACCCCUUGCAGGGGAGUGAAAUAGUUCCUGAAACCGUACGCCUACAAGCGGUCGGAGCAUCUUAAGUGAUGUGACGGCGUGCCUUUUGCAUAAUGAACCUACGAGUUGCCGUCACCAGCGAGGUUAAGUGCGAUGACGCACCGAGCCGCAGCGGAAGCGAGUCUUAAAAGGGCGCGAUAGUUGGUGGAGGCAGACGCGAAACCGAGUGAUCUACACUUGUCCAGGAUGAAGUCCCGGUAACACGGGAUGGAGGUCCGCACCAAUAAGCGUUGAAAAGCUUCUGGAUGAGGUGAGUGUAGGAGUGAAAGGCCAAUCAAACUCGGAGAUAGCUCGUACUCCCCGAAAGGCAUUUAGGUGCCGCCUCGGACGUUCCCGAUGUGAGGUAGAGCGACUGAUUGGAUGCGAGGGCUUCACCGCCUAUCAAGUCCUGAUAAACUCCGAAUGCGCAUCGGCCAAGUCCGGGAGUAAGGGCAUGGGUGCUAAGGUCCGUGCCCGAGAGGAGAAGAAUCCAGACCAUCGGCUAAGGUCCCGAAAUACUGGUUAAGUUAGACUAACGAAGUCCGGCCCCCAAGACAGCUAGGAUGUUGGCUUGGAAGCAGCCAUUCAUUCAAAGAGUGCGUAACAGCUCACUAGUCGAGGAGCUGGGCGUGGAUAAUAAUCGGGUAUAAAACCAGUUACCGAAGCCGUGGGAUGCAUAAGCAUCGGUAGGGGAGCAUUGCAUGCGGCUUAGAAGGCGGGGCGCGAGCCCCUCUGGAGCGCAUGGAAACGCAAAUGUAGGUAUAAGUAACGACAAGGGGGGUGGGAUGCCCCCCCGCCGAAAGACCAAGGUUUCCUGAACAACGCUAAUCGGUUCAGGGUCAGUCGGGUCCUAAGCAUAAGCCGCAAGGCGAUGGCGAUGGCAGAAACGGUUAAUAUUCCGUUACUACCUUUGCGCGUGAUGUGGGGACGGAGCAGUGACACGGUCGCCGUCAGACGGAAUUGACGGUUGAAGGGCGUAGGCGAUGAGGAAGGCAGGCAAAUCCACCUUCCGAGCUGAAACCUGAUAGUACGGAGCGUUCUUCGGAACAAUCCGACAGCACCGGUAAUCAGACUCCCGAGAAAAUCCGCUAAACUGCAACGCAGAGGUACCCGUACUCUAAACGGACACACGUGGUCGGGUUGAAUAUACUAAGGCGCUUGGGAGAUUCACGGUUAAGGAACUAGGCAAACUGACCCCGUACCUUCGGAAUAAGGGGUCCUCACAGCAAUGUGAGGCGCAGAGAAUAGGUCCAGGCAACUGUUUAACAAAAACACAGGACUGUGCUAAAUUUAACGAUGAUGUAUACAGUCUGACACCUGCCCGGUGCCGGAAGGUUAAGAGGAGAGCUCAUCAGCAAUGAGAAGGUUUGAAUUGAAGCCCCGGUAAACGGCGGCCGUAACUAUAACGGUCCUAAGGUAGCGAAAUUCCUUGUCGGGU
rnacentral:rRNA from 1 species